GCCACGAGAUGGCGUUUAAAUAAAAUAGUUCGGUUACAGUUCAUGAGUUCAUGGCGUGAAUAAAAUAGUUCAAUUACACUUAAAUAGGUCUGUUACAUACAUAAUUUAUUGCUGGAAAACUAAUUCUGGCUACUUAUAUUGUUCUUCAUACAUCAUUAUGAGUGCAAUAUGCACCCCAUAAUUUUUUGUAACUCAUUACAUCUUUAGACGUCACCGAGAUGAGUGAAGUGUGCUAGAAGAGUAAGGGAAAGUCGGAAAGUUUUAUCUUAUCUGCUGUCCAAGAUUUUCCCAACAAGUCUAAUAUUGGCCAUUAUUGUACUCUUGAGUUAUGCUGUAAUUGGUUUCCGUUUCCUGUAUGACGUCAUAAUCACGGGAAGGGGCAUUGCUUGGAUGUUUUAUGGAACAAAGUACCUUAUUGAAGUCUUAGAACAAAAAGAUGAAAGUCCCGAUAGGAAUGCAUUUUUUGAUCCGCCAAGACAGAGAUUUGAUCGUAAAUAUUACAGAAGGCAAAGAUGCAUUGAACUUGAAUCAGAAUAAAUGAAAAUAGCUUAAUAUUUAGUGGUCUAUAAGAUAUUCGCCAAAUAUUUCCUAAGAAAUAAUAUAGAUUAGCAAUAAAAUUUUCU